CGCACGAACACGCGAACAGCCCACGCACGCAACGAACUUGUCCGUUUAUACGCGCACGGUGCUCUCUCUCUCUCUGUCCUCAUUAGCUGCCGUUUGAGGCGCCGCAUGAAGUUCCAUCUCCACGUGGUGGACGGCAGCGCCCCCGCCCGCGGCGGGGCGGCGCCGUUCUCCUCUCCGCCCACCGCAGCGGAGGCGACGCAGGCGACGGCGCUGAUGCUCUUUGCCCACAUGACGCUGCGGUGCGGUCACCUGAGUGAUGUGUUGGCCGUGAGCGCCAGCACAACGCCCGCCCUCGCCCGGGCAGCGGCGCUCCAGCCGCAACAGAACCAGCUCCACUCUGGCGCCGCACAGCUGGGCAACGCCGAUACCUCGGUAAGCGAGGACACGCAGGUGCUGCAGAUGGCCGGUAAGUUGCUGAGCGGGGUCAUCGACAACGACGCUGCCGCCGGCCUCCCCUAUAUGGACAUGGACGGCGGCGAUGCUCGCAUAACCCCUUACGCGUACUUCAACUCCUCUUUCUCCGAGGCAGAGCAGUCACUGCGCCGCGCCGUGUGUAUCUUGGCGGAGGGCGGUACCGCGGCGCCGCCACCAUACUUCGACCUCAUCGCCACGACAGACAUGGCCACGUUCGACUAUAUCAUUGAGUACUACCAGCAGCAGCGCGUGCGCCACGGCGGUGCUGUGACGAAGGGCAGGGGCACAAAGCCGGUCGGCGUGAUGCAUAUUGUCGCCGACGAUCCGUCCAGAGCGGCGCUUGUGCUGCAGCGCGUUGUGGAGCUGAUGUUGAAGCGCAGUGGCUGGACUUUCUCCGUUGAUGCGCGCGCCGCAGCGGAAGAAGAGGCGCUCGCUGCGCAGACGGAGGAAGACGACGAUGGCGAUGACGAAGAUGGCGGCGGCGGCGAUGCCGGUACGGCCGGUGGCCGUGGCGGUGUCGUGAGUGCGGGCACCGGGGGUGGCGGCGUGCAAGCCGGUGCCCGCAGUGGCAGUGUCGACAGCUGGGUGAAUCACAUUGAUGAGGCAGUGCAUCUCUUCGCACAGUUGUUCGGCGUGGACGUUUUGGUGACCCUUGUGUAGGCAAGGCACGGCGGGUGGAGUGAGUGAGCGAGCCUUUCCCGCUGAUGGGGGAAGUGUCGGCUCCGCGUUCAUGCGGUCAUCGCAGGAGGCGUAUUCUCUGUAACGUGUGAUGAGGUAGUGAGAGGUAGAGGGAGGAGGAGGGGGGGUGCAAACCCCUCGGUGACUCUUGCUCCCCAUGCGUGUACGUACGCGUGCCCAGGCGCCGGUGUGCCUUGAGGUCGCCACUGCAGCUAUGCCGAACCCCCUUUCUCUCUAAGCGAACAAGGCAAGCGGCUUGGCACACGCGCGUGCGCCGCCGUCAAUUCGAUGUGCGGUGGGAGCUGCGUAAUGCAUGUUGGGGGUGUAGUGAACGGCGUGGAAACGCGGCGCGCGAGUACGUCGCAAUGGUGCAUGUUUCGCGUCCCAGCUCCAAAACAGGUUGCUGCCUCAGAGUAGCGGUUAUGACGUGACCCCACGCAGCCUCCCCCUCCCCUCCCUUCCCCCGGAGAGAGCCGCCUUUUACGCGAUGGCAACACUAAAUGAAGCCUUCAGUAUCCUCUUACAGAAAUGUGGGCGCGCAUCAAAGAGCCCUCGCCUCACCUUCGCUGAUUCCUCCCUCUCCCUCCCCCUCUCCCUCUCCCUCACUUGUGCCUCAUCUCUCCUCGCGUUGGAUGUGCACCCGCUAAG
rnacentral:misc_RNA from 1 species